rnacentral:ribozyme from 1 species
UACCCCAGUCCAGAGAGACCACGUCAAAAACGGCUCUCCAGUCAAUAAAAUCAAAGACCAGCGAAUCGUUUUUUUGUUUUUUG